GCAGUGGUGGUUCAGUGGUAGAAUUCUCACUUUCCAUGCAGGAGGGCUAGGUUAGACUCCCGGCCAAUGUA
rnacentral:tRNA from 1 species